AGCAGCCGCGGUAAUUCCAGCUCCAAUAGCGUAUAUUAAAGUUGUUGCAGUUAAAAAGCUCGUAGUUGAAUUUCGGGGUUAGUAGGUUGGUCAUGCCUCUGGUAUGUACUGGUCUCACUGAUUCCUCCUUCCUGAUGAGCCGUAAUGCCAUUAAUUUGGUGUUGCGGGGAAUUUGGACUGUUACUUUGAAAAAAUUAGAGUGUUUAAAGCAAGCUAACGCUUGAAUACAUUAGCAUGGAAUAAUGAAAUAGGACGUUCGAUCCUAUUUUGUUGGUUUCUAGGAUUGACGUAAUGAUUAAUAGGGAUAGUUGGGGGCAUUAGUAUUCAAUUGUCAGAGGUGAAAUUCUUGGAUUUAUUGAAGACUAACUACUGCGAAAGCAUUUGCCAAGGAUGUUUUCAUUAAUCAAGAACGAAAGUUAGGGGAUCGAAGACGAUCAGAUACCGUCGUAGUCUUAACCAUAAACUAUGCCGACUAGGGAUCGGAUGAUGUUAAUUUUUAA
rnacentral:rRNA from 1 species